rnacentral:lncRNA from 1 species
UGCAAUAGUCAAAGCGGUGUUCCCUUUAUCCAAGGUAGGUGCAUGUAAGAAUCAAUAAGAUGACAACCAUCUUGCCACAUUAAGAAGACUUUUGUAAUUCCUUGCUCUCUUACGUUAAAUUAGACAACUAGAUGAUUUUUAUUUUUUUUGAUAGGUAAGAAAAGAUCUAUUAAAAAGAGGCGCCAAAAGACAACUAGAUGAAAUGAAUAGCAAAUUAUGUAAAAAAUACAAAGCAUAAAAAUUACUUUCUUCAACCAGUGAAGAAUCAAUAAGGAUGCAUAAUUACAAUGUGGACUAGAAGAGAGGCAAAUGCAAAGUUGUGUUCAUUAUAUAGAGGGAAUUGGAGAAACCAUGUAAUUCCCAUAUGUCCUUGCUUUUGACCUGGUGUUUUUUUGCACAGGAAUAGGUACUUGACCUAGGAUUUUUUGCACAGGAAUAUGUACCUGAUCUGGCAUUUUCUGCACAAGGAAAUGUACUUCAUAACUGUCACAUGUACAG